CAGGCCUAACACAUGCAAGUCGAACGAAGGCUUCGGCCUUAGUGGCGCACGGGUGCGUAACGCGUGGGAAUCUGCCCAAAGGUACGGAAUAACUCUCCGAAAGGAGUGCUAAUACCGUAUGAUGUCGCAAGACCAAAGAUUUAUCGCCUUUGGAUGAGCCCGCGUAGGAUUAGCUUGUUGGUGGGGUAAAGGCCUACCAAGGCGACGAUCCUUAGCUGGUCUGAGAGGAUGAUCAGCCACACUGGGACUGAGACACGGCCCAGACUCCUACGGGAGGCAGCAGUGGGGAAUAUUGGACAAUGGGCGAAAGCCUGAUCCAGCAAUGCCGCGUGAGUGAUGAAGGCCUUAGGGUUGUAAAGCUCUUUUACCCGGGAAGAUAAUGUCUGUCCGGGGG
rnacentral:rRNA from 1 species